UCUCCCACCUUAACACCUUUGCCUUCUGUUAAAUCCCACCCCGAUACCAAUAACAAUAAUGUACCCCCAGCGACAGUCUCUACGUCUUCUGGUCCCACUCCCAUUUCCGAUCCUCUCCUACCCGGUCUUGUAUCUUCUCCCGCUACAACCAUUUCCACUCACAACCCCAGCACCGAUUCCAAUUCCAAUUCUCACCAAUCUUAUGUCUCUCAAGGUUCACAAUCAUCCAAGGAGUAUAUAAAGUUACAAUCACAAAACAGGAAAUACGCUAAGAAAGUGAAAGAACAGAAACAUAUGCUGCAUCAACUACAGAAACAAAAAGAUAAACGCUCUUCCCACGUAACAUCAAAACGUUUUAUUAAUGCUCAUGUUCAGACACAGACACAGAAUGACUGCAAGAAGUGUGACGAGUUACAAAUGGACAUCGAUAAGCUGAUAACAGAAGUUGAAUCGAGACCCCCAUUGGAACCUUCCGGUACCAAAUGUAACUCUAAAUUAACAGACAUUGACUUAAUGAAAGAGAAGGCUUACAGUGACGAGACGGUUAAAUGUGUGUUACAUCUUUUGGCUGAAAAUGUAGGUUAUUCACACGUAGGGCCUGUUAUCAAAGCCGUUCUUAAUUUAGUUGGGCUUCAACCCAAGGCCCUCCCAUCAGUAGCUACGGUAGCUGAAAUGGCGAAAAAGAGAGCGCCAUUAAACAGCAUGUUUGUUGCACAUCAACUUUCGGAAACGAUGGACACGACACUUUACAGUGAUGAGACUUCCAAAUUUGGGCAGAGGGUUCAAAAUUAUAUCGUGACUGACGCUGACGACAAUACCAUUUUGAUAGGUAUGAGAGAAAUGGCUGAUAAGUCGGCCAAUUCCGUUCUUUCGACUCUCAAAGAAAUAUUGUCGGAUUUGGACAGUGUAACUGACGUGACUAACACUGGUAAAAAGAUAGUAACCAGUAUCAAAAAUACCAUGUCAGAUCGUGCAGCAACAGAAAAAUCCUUUAACUCUCUGUUGAAGCAUUACCGAACGGCGCUUCUUUCGGAAAUCAUACCGGGGUGGCAUGUCCUGUCCAAACGUGAGCAAGAGUCUCUGGGCAACAUGCACAAUUUUUAUUGUGGUCUUCACCUUUUGGUCAACCUUGCCGACCAAAGUGCGUCCACUCUCAGCCAGUACGAGGCUAAGAUUGCUAAAUCAUCCCGGUCGGAAAGUGAAGUUGUAAAUUUGAUUAGGAUGUGCUGCAAGGCGUUUUCACGAGGAGGGGAUGAAAAAAGCGGUUGCUACGAACUUAUGACACUAUUCUUAGAAUCAAGGGGGGUAAACAAUAAAUUAACAAAUUUCCGUGGCAACCGUUUCAAUAUCCUGUUCCACAAUGCCGCGGUGGUCUAUUAUUUACAUAAGCAUUUUGUAUCUUUCUUUGAUACUGUAAAUGCAGGCUCUAAUCUCCUUUUGGCUUCCAUCAAACAAUCACUACACAAUAGUUUAAAUUUAGCAGGAUGUCGAGCUUUAGGCCUGAUUUCCAAAUUUAUCACUACCCCUCUGUGGAAUAUUUUGGAGGGGCGUGAUCAUAGCGUGCUGGACAUGAGUCGCAUCUACACAACACUCAUACACAACAUGCAAACUCUCAACUACACGCAGUUUAUUUUAGGGCAAUGCAAUUUAUUCAUGGCAAACAAUGACAGAGACUCUGAUUCAGGUAACAAAAGACAGACGGCUGACAAUGACGACGGUGGUCCUGACGAUACUACUGUUCCCAAACAGACAGAUGACGUGGUAGUGACUGAACUGACAAAAAGUGGGGACAGUGACGCCGACACUGAACACAUUCUGGAAUUUUUAAUUCCAGAUUUGACGACCCUACUACAACGACUUCUGACAGACCAACUCCCUGGCGGCGAGCACGCUGCAAACACAAACCUCACCCAUCCCGAAUGUAAAUCUGUAAUCAAGCAUAAUAAGCUCCCCGAAACUGUUUUUGCCCAAUUAGAUUAUUUACAGCAUACCAAACCCUCUUCCUCUAUUUUCUCCCAAGAGGCCCAUAUCAUGUUUAAUUUUAAUAAAGUAAGCAGCUGGAUCAGUGCUAUGUCCGACCAGGAAUGGACCACCGUCCUCGGUCACGCAUCAAAAUUGUACCAAACUACAUAUGCAAAUUUUAUUACAUGCAAAAAUGACAUUAAGCAAGCCAAACACGAAAAACUCAGACAAACACAAGAACAAAUGGAAAAGAAAAAACAAAAGAAAUUAAAGAGAACAUGCACAACUUAUCCAAGAAAUAUCCUUUGAAGGUCUUUGGCAAAGCGUGGCCGAGGUAGACAACCGACUUCAUCAUGUAUAUUCAAAAACAUCCAAAACACAGAAGAUGAACAUAAUAAAAAAACAGCUAAAAUUCCGCAAGUUAGUGUUAAAACAAGAUGCACCUCCUGAACUGUUCACUUUUUCUAAAUCCUCUAAACCUCUCUCUAUUAACCAAUUAUCUAGUAAUUUGAAAAACCUCAUACAACUUAAUCUUGCACUUGAAACACCGGUGCCAAAUGAGGGUCAAUUUCUGGUGGGGCAAAAAGUAAGUCAUUUAUUUAAUUUAGAAAACGGGGAACAGAAGUUUUACGUGGGAAUGGUACUAGGGCAAGUUACUGGCUAUCCAUCGUGGUUCAACGUAAAAUAUGACAGCGACAAUACAAUCUAUACCUUUGAACUUUUAGACGAUUAUGCAGCCGGGGACUUACAGAUUAUUCAUCUAUAGCAGUAUCACAAGUGAGGUCAGCCUAGCAAGGAGGUGGAACGUGUCGGGUCGCGGGCGGUCCUUCGAAACCAUCAACACAGAUAACGGUAAACACUUUCGAAGCAUAUAAAACAAAAUUGACUGUAUAACCCUCGACACACAAAAGGUUUUCAUUCUAAUUAAACCACGAUCUACAC
rnacentral:misc_RNA from 1 species